rnacentral:lncRNA from 1 species
AGUCCAAUCUCCGUAGAAGCCCAGAUGCGGAUCAUCUGUCGCGGGGGCUCGAUCGAAGCCUGCCUGCAAUAGAAAUUCGGAAGGAAUUCAUCCACGAUGGAGGCUCGGGUGGAGGCUUACCAUGAGAAUCCGAUGCGGAUCACUCGUAGUGAAAAUUUAAAGUAGACCGCUUGUAGCAGGAGCUCAGAGUCUGGCCCUUGUAGGAGUUCAGACGAAGUCUGCCAGCAGUCGG